GGACGGGUAAAAAAUCAGUAGCAACAUCUCAGUGUUCAGGAUUGUUCAACUAUAUUUUGAUUGAGACUUUCAUAACAUCAGGAUGGAAGAAUUCCCAGAACAUUCACUAAUCAAUGACAGCUAUGAAGAUGAUAAAGUACAUAAUGCGUCUCCACUUGAGAUUUUGGAUCUACUGGAGAUUGGUCCUUCUGAACAGGCGUCUCCACCUAAGUUUCCGGAUCUAAAGAAGAUUGGUCCUUCUGA